CAGUAGCCGCGGGAAUACGUAGGUGGCAAGCGUUGUCCGGAUUCAUUGGGCGUAAAGGGUGCGUAGGCGGUUCCGUAAGUCGGAUGUGAAAUCUUGGGGCUCAACCUCAAAACUGCACUCGAUACUGCGGGGCUAGAGGACUGGAGAGGAGAGUGGAAUUCACGGUGUAGCAGUGAAAUGCGUAGAUAUCGUGAGGAAGACCAGCGGCGAAGGCGGCUCUCUGGACAGUUCCUGACGCUGAUGCACGAAGGCCAGGGGAGCAAACGGGAUUAGAUACCCCCGUAGUCCCUGUCUCUUAUAC
rnacentral:rRNA from 1 species